CUCAGUUCGGAUUGCAGGCUGCAACUCGCCUGUAUGAAGUCGGAAUUGCUAGUAAUCGUGGAUCAGCAUGCCACGGUGAAUACGUUCCCGGGCCUUGUACACACCGCCCGUCACACCAUGAGAGCCGGGAACACCCGAAGUCCGUAGUCUAACCUAUAUGGAGGACGCGGCCGAAGGUGGGUUUGGUAAUUGGGGUGAAGUCGUAACAAGGUACC
rnacentral:rRNA from 1 species